rnacentral:rRNA from 1 species
UACGUAGGGACCGAGCGUUGUCCGGAAUCAUUGGGCGUAAAGAGCGUGUAGGCGGCCACUUAAGUCCUGCGUGAAAUCUUGCGGCUCAACCGCAAGCGGUCGUGGGAAACUGGGUGGCUAGAGUACGGAAGAGGCGAGUGGAAUUCCUGGUGUAGCGGUGGAAUGCGCAGAUAUCAGGAGGAACACCAAUAGCGAAGGCAGCUCGCUGGGACGUUACUGACACUGGAGGCGCGAAAGCGUGGGGAGCGAACAGG